AUGCUGCAAAUUAAAGUGUUACAUAAUGCAAAUUUCUUUUUCUUUCCUUUUUUUUCUCAGUACUACAUAACUGGAGCUGUAAACAGAUUCAUCAGGCCACAGCCCGCUGACACUGUCAACAAUGACCCAAACACAAAUCAGGAAUCUGCAGCUGAAAUCAAGCACCCUCCCUCUGACUCAGCAGACGGUCACAGCAGCAGAGGAGGUGUCGAGGAGGAGCAGCUUGUCGCAACAUCCUCUCUGCUGAGCUCGUCUCACCCCAUCGUCGAAUGGGAACGUUGCACCACAGAAAUCGACUUAGGGGUUGAUGAGGAAAGCAUGCAGUACAAAACCCAGCUGAGAAAAGUCGACGAGAGCAAAGAGGAUGGUGAGGGCAAGAGAGAGGAACAGCGCAGAAAGACAGGAAAUGAUAAUUCAAAUGAUUCAAGAGCAAAAGAAGACGAACGAGAGACGAUGGAGAUCGAAAAAAUGGGCACUUGUGCAGGACUUGUGGAGCCUGGAAAUGAUGAACGUGAACAUGCCGCUUCUGGAACACAAACUUUUUCCGGGGUUGCAAUAUGCCAAAAAAGAACUGAGGAGGAAACUGAUGCUGAGAAUGCAACAGUGAGAUUAGGGUUGCCCACUGAUCAUCUAACAAAGGAGGAAAAUAUGAAAGAAACCCAAGUAAACGAAGAAAAGGAUCAGACGCAUGAUAAAGACAAGGAAGACCUUGAAGCAGAAGACACUGAGAGAAAAGAAGAAGAUGAUGAUAAACUGCGCAGUGAAGAUGAGCGAGAGUUAGAAGCAGAAAACGCUGAGGUAAAAGCAUGCAUAGCUACAGGUAUAAGUCCAGAUGAUGUGGAUCACAUGCACAAAGGAGAGGCAGAGGUACAGCAGCAUGAUGCAGUGUUACUGGAUGAUCAUUCAGGAAGGGAGGAACUUGUUAAAGAAACCCGACUGAAGGAAGAAAAUGAUAAAGCAGAUCAUGAAGAGGAACAAGAUUCAGAAGCAAAAACAACUGAAGUAGCAGAGGAAUAUAACAACAUGCACUGUGAAAAUGACAAUUUGGAAGCAGAAAGCAACGAGUUCAAAGUAUGCAUAGCAAAAAGUCCAAAUAAAGAGGAUUACGUACACAAAGGGGAAGGAGAGGUAGAAAAGAAUGAUGCGAUGACACCAGAUCAUCAUCCAAGAGAGGACGAAAUUAUCAAAGACACCCAAAUAAAGGAAGAAGAUGAAACAGUUGACCAUGAAGAAGAGCGAGAUUUAGAAGCAGACACAGAGAUAAACGUGUGCAGUAUCAAGGAUUUAAGUCCAGAAGAUGAGGCUCAUAGGUACGACGGAGACGCAGAGGUACAGAAGAAUGAUGCAGUGACACUGGAUGAUCAUCCAAGAGAGGAUGAAAUUACUAAAGAAACUCAGUUAGAGGAAGAAGAUGAUAAAAUGCAGCAUGAAGAUGAACAAGAUUUAGAAGCAGAAGACACUGAGGUGCAAGUGUGCAUAACUACAGAUAUUAGUCCAGUACUGGAUGAUCACAAGCAGGAAACAGAAGCCAAGUUACAGAAAACUGAUGCAGCGACACUGGAUGAUCAUCCAAGAGAGGAUGAAACAAAAGAAACUCAGUUAGAGGAAGAAGAUGAUAAACUGCUGCAUGAAGAUGAGCAAGAUUUGGAAGCAGAAGACACUGAGAUAAAAGUGUGCAUUAGCACAGGUUUAAGUCUAAAUGAUGAUGAUAAUGAUCACCUGCAGGAAAUAGAGUCUGAAGUACAGAAGAAUGAUGCAGUGACCCCGGAUGAACAUCCAAGAGAGGAUGAAAUGUUCAAAGAAGACAACUUAAAGGAAGAAGAUGAAAAAACAGAUCGUGCAGAUGAACAAGAUUUGGAAGCAGAAGACACUGAGAUACCAGAAGAAGAUGAUAGAACAGACUAUGAAGAUGAACAGCAUUUAGGAGCAGAGGGCACUGAGGUCCAACUGUGCAUAAUUACAGAUAUUAGUCCAGUACUGGAUGAUCACAAGCAGGAAACAGAAGCCGAGUUACAGAAAACUGAUGCAGCGACACUGGAUGAUCAUCCAAGAGAGGAUGAAACAAAAGAAACUCAGUUAGAGGAAGAAGAUGAUAAACUGCUGCAUGAAGAUGAGCAAGAUUUGGAAGCAGAAGACACUGAGAUAAAAGUGUGCAUUAGCACAGGUUUAAGUCUAAAUGAUGAUGAUAAUGAUCACCUGCAGGAAAUAGAGUCUGAAGUACAGAAGAAUGAUACAGUGACCCCGGAUGAACAUCCAAGAGAGGAUGAAAUGUUCAAAGAAGCCCACCUAAAGGAAGAAGAUGAAAAAACAGAUCAUCCAGAUGAACAAGAUUUGGAAGCAGAACACACUGAGAUUAAAGUGUCCAUUAGCACAAGUUUAAGUCCCGAUGAUGAUGAUAAUGAUCGCCUGGAAGAAAUAGAGUCUGAAGUACAGCAGAAUGAUGCAGUGACACUAGAUGAACAUCCAAGAGAGGAUGCGAUUACUAAAGAAACCCAGUUAGAGGAAGAAGAUGAUAAAAUGCAGCAUGAAGAUGAACAAGAUUUGGAAGCAGAAGACACUGAAGUACCAGAGGAAGAUGAUAAAACAGACUAUGAAGAUAAAAAGCAUUUAGGAGCAGAGGGCACUGAGAUUAAAGUGUCCAUUGGCACAAGUUUAAGUCCCGAUGAUGAUGAUAAUGAUCGCCUGGAAGAAAUAGAGUCUGAAGUACAGAAGAAUGAUGCAGUGACACUGGAUGAACAUCCAAGAGAGGAUGAAACCAAAGAAACCCAGUUAGAGGAAGAAGAUGAUAAACUGCAGCAUGAAGAUGAACAAGAUUUGGAAGCAGAGGGCACUGAGGUCCAACUGUGCAUGACUACAGAUAUAAGUCCAGUACUGGAUGAUCACAAGCAGGAAACAGAAGCCGAGUUACAGAAAACUGAUACAGUGACACUGGAUGAUCAUCCAAUAGAAGAUGAAAUGUUCAAAGAAGACAACUUAAAGGAAGAAGAUGAAAAAACAGAUCAUGCAGAUGAACAAGAUUUGGAAGCAGAAGACACUGAAGUACCAGAAGAAGAUGAUAAAACAGACUAUGAAGAUGAACAGCAUUUAGGAGCAGAGGGCACUGAGGUCCAACUGUGCAUAACUACAGAUAUAAGUUCAGUACUGGAUGAUCAUAAGCAGGAAACUGAGGCUGAGGUACAGAAAACUGAUACAGCGACACUGGAUGAUCAUCCAAUAGAAGAUGAAAGCAAAGAAACUCAAUUAGAGGAAGAAGAUGAUAAACUGCAGCAUGAAGAUGAACAAGAUUUAGAGCCAGAAACUGUUGAGGCAGCAGAGGACGAUGAUAAAACCGACACUGAGAUGAAAGUGAGCAUAGGUACAGAUAUAAGUCCAGAAGAGGAGGCAGAGGUACAGAAAAAUGAUGUAAUGACACUGGAAGAUCUUCCAAUGACAGAUAACAUUAUUAAAGAAACCGAGUUAAAGGAAGAAGAUGAUAAAACGCAGCAUGAAGAUGAACAAGGUUUAGAUUCAGAAGCCUGUGAUGUUGUGCUACAGCUGGACUCCGAAAAUGUAAUCAAAUCAGAGGAGAAAACAAGUCAAGUUGAGAAUCAGCUCUCAGCCUUUGGAGACCAGCCAGAUACAUCAGUGGAUAUGCUCACUGUUAUCACAAAAUCUUAUGCGAUGACUCAUAGCAGUGAAAAUGAUGAAGGUGAGAAAGAGAAGGGGGUUGAGACAGAGCAGCCUGCCACCAACGAGACAACAGAAGUGCCAGAUCUGGACGAGAACAUCGGAACAGAAGCAGAAGACACUGAAGGAGAAAAUCUUUUAACUGAAUAUGAUUUAUCCGGUAAAGAAGCUGCACUGAAGACUACUUCACAGCUGCACACAGCUGGAUUCACAGAUAAACACGAGGAGGAUGUGAGGGUCCCAGGGACAGUAACAGAUAUUUCAGCAGAAGAGAGACUCAUUGAUCAAGAUCAAGAAAAAAAGGAGAGCGUCUCCGGUGAAGCCUACACCGGAGAAUUUUACAGCGAAAUUAUACAUUCAAGCACCUCAGUUACAGUAAAGCCCGAAGGCGAGACUACGCAGGAAACGGACGAAGAAUUUAAAAACACUCCCCCGGGGAUCAGUGAAGGCCAGUGUGCCGUGCUGCAGGAACUAAAUACUCCAACAUGUGAGGAAAUUCUAGAGGGAGUUUCCAAAUAUAACAAUGAGCUUCGGGGGGCCGAUGAAAAUACAACACAAAGGUUCCUGGAAGCAGGAGAUUGUGAGGAAAUCCCGGCAACUCAAUUACCAGAAGAGGUGGAGAGCGGAGAUCAGGAGAGCCUUGAAAACAGUGGCUGCAGGACUGGAGCUGACUAUUUACUGCUGAAGGAGUCCAUGGAAGAGAAACAAGAAAGCAAAGAAGAGACUGAGACGAGCUUUGGUUUGUUUGUGGAGGAGCACGAGGGAACACCGGACCUUGAACUAGAGGCAGAGAGAAAGCUUGUUGAAGGAGUAAUUCAAGAAUCAGGACUUGACAAAGAAGAAGGAAAAUUACUGACAAGUUCAAUGAAGACAGAGGUGACUGGAACACAUCUUGGUUUAUUGGACGAGACGGAGAGGAGAUCAGAAGGGCUGCACGAUGAUGGCAGCGGAUCUACAGGAGGUGACUGUGAAACAAGAGAAGCGGUUGCAGCAGCAGAAGUGGUUGAAUUCGUCAUUCAGGAAUCAGUAGCAGCCAUAAAGUUGGACCAAAGCAUCAGCAGGCCAUUAAGUUUACAAGAAGACACGAGUGAGUAUGGGUCUGUGAGACCCUCAGCUGAAACUGAGCCUAUAUCAGUUGAUGAUAGCUCUGUUGAAAUGCAAGGUAAAGCCACUGAAAGAGAAGGAAGGGGUUGUGAAGAUGAAGAGGAGGAAGCAGAAGAUGGAAUCCAGACCUUAAAUGAAAUUGAUCUACAGAUAACUAAAGAAACUGCAGGUGAGCUAAUCACAGAAACAGGAGGAACAGAGAGUCCUCUGAAUGCAGAAUUGGAAAUAACUCAAAACUCUGAGACUCAGGAGAUAAACAAUCAGUCGCCACACAGAGCACUUGAGAUAAGUGAGACACAAAUAAUAGUAGCUGAAACAGCUGACGAACCCAGACCAGAGGAUUUGCCAGUGACGUCAUCAGAGAGAAAAGGUGGCUCAGUCAGUGGAUAUCAAGAUGUGAUUGAUGAAGAAAUCCUUGACUUGUGGAUUGAGACGGUGAUGUCAGAGGACACUGAUGAGAUUAAACAGGAAGAGCCCAAGCCAGGGCAGCUAUUGGACGACAAAACAGACACUUUAAAUGAGGAGCAAGGUGAAACAUCAACAGAGAAUGAGAUAGUGUCACUAGCAGAGGCCAUUUGUAGGGAAUCUGAGGCCAUAAGUGACACAGAAAUGUCUUCGUCAACUGUGGAGUCUGGAUUUCUGGACCAAUCUCUCAGUGAAUCGUGUAUUCAGAGCAGCGAGACUCAGCUGCUGAAAUCAACGAGCACUGACUCUCUCCAGGGGAUCCAUGACCUGGUGGCUAGCGUGUCCACAGACAUCUUUGAUGAUAUCACACAACCUCAAACUCAGGACUUACUGACAAAGGAAUCAGCUGAGGCGGAGAAGGAAUCGGUCGCUGACAUAGAAGCUCAAUCACAUCUAAAUCAGGAAUCUCCAGAAAAAGCAGAAGAAAGAGCUGAAACAUUAGAGACUGAAAGUGGAUCACAGAAAGCGUAUGAGGAUGUUGAAGAAGAAGCAGAUGUAACAAAAAUGACAACACAGAGCGCUCCUUCGCACGACAAGAAGGUAGAAGCUGAGGAGGAGCAUCCUGAGGUAACCGCGUCUGAUUCUUCAGAUGAACUCAAACCCGCUGAGUCUGAAGAAUCUGAAAGCGACUCACAAAAUGAACCUGAGAAGGACACACUGAACUUGUCCUCACUGGAUAGACCACAGCCUGCACAUUCAUUGUUAUUCCCUGUGCUAAACGAGGCCCAGGUGGCCAAAGAGCCAACAAUCGAAUCUGGGAAUAAGGUGGAUGGCCCUGUGCUGGACUUUGCUGUGCAAAGGUCACGAAUUGCUGUUAAGAACCCUCGUGUAAGGCCACCUAAAAAUCCCCGCUCCCUGCUCCAUAUGCCCUCAGAGGAACCCACACCCACACCUACACCAUCUUCGCGUUUGCCGGUCAAACUCCCUGGAGGUGUGCCUUUAGGAGGCAUAGGUAUUGGAAUAAAACUCCCUGGGCUCGGUGCUGGAUUUCCUGUUUUAAAAAAGACACAGCGGGCAGUGAGAGAUGAAAAUACCCAGGAAACAGUGUCACAGGAACCUGAAACAAAGCCAGAGGAAAAGAGCGACGCUCCCCCACAGGAGGAGGAGGAGGCACCAAAGAAGCCUAAAUGGAUGCCACCAAAACAUCCCGGGUAAGGAUGGCAACAGCAAAACAAAAAAAAAACAGUCCCCAGAAAAGAGACUUCCUGUUUUCUGACUUUUUUUUAAAUGUAUUUAUUUAUUUUUCUCCUGUGUCCACAGAGGAUUUGGAAAUCCCCUGAUGGCAGAGCUAAAGACCAAACUGAAGAAAACACCAAAGGAGUGAGAAACUCAGUGGCUGCGUGCAAAUACCUGAAUGUAAUAUACGUAUGGUUUUAUUUUUGUGUACCGAGAAAUUGUCCUUCAUGUCCCCUACUUGUUCAGUGUAAUUUGUAAAAUAAACAUAAACUUUCUUGCAUGAAAACAGUGUUGAUACCAUUAAUCUCAAUUUUUUUUAAAAAAAACAAAAAAACAAAGAAACACAAGUUCCCUUGUAUGAGCAGUUUAAGAAAAUAUUCCUUCUCCAAACUGUUCAACCUGAGUUGCCACUCCAGUAAACUAAUUUCUAACCCCUACUCUAUUUCUUUUUCUAAAUGUCUAUUCAAACAUGGUAGAACAGUUUGAAUUGACAUUUCUAUUAUGCACAAUGUGGAAAACUAAAGGGGAAUCUAAACAGAAACAGAUCAGAGAGCUUCGCAUAAUGUUAUAAUGAAUGCUGUUUUAAACCUAAUGGAGGAGUGGUGUCAGACAGAUGUCUGGAGGCCAGAAUCGCCACAGGAAACAAUGCAGCCCACUGGAUGACUUUGGAAAAUGGGAAGGCCAUAAAUUUUGGACUUCUGACUGUCUUUUAAUAAGUUGUAGAACUCUUUCUACUGAUAAAGAGCUUCCCCCACAUGUAUACCCACAGUCAUAUAUAUUACACUAAAGUAAUGAUGCAUAAGCAAUUAAAUGGCAGGGAAGUUCCUUAUACUACAGAAAUUUAUAUCUUUUUACAGUGUGUCCAUUGUUUAAAAGGAACUAAAUGACAGGAGCAGUUAAAUGCUGUUAUAUGACCUCUAAAUCAUAGAGAUAUUUCUGUUUUGGGAUUUUUUUUAAAUUUUUUUUUU
ensembl:lncRNA